rnacentral:rRNA from 1 species
CCUACGGGAGGCUGCAGUAGGGAAUUUUCGGCAAUGGGGGGAACCCUGACCGAGCAACGCCGCGUGAACGAAGAAGUUAUUCGUAAUGUAAAGUUCUUUUAACAUGGAAGAAAGAGACAUUUGACGGAAACUGAUGAAUAAGCCCCGGCUAACUACGUGCCAGCAGCCGCGGUAAUACGUAGGGAGCGAGCGUUAUCCGGAAUUAUUGGGAGUAAAGGGUGCGUAGAUGGCAUAGUAAGUCUUCUGUAAAAAUGCUGGGCUAAACCCAGUAGGGCAAAAGAUACUGCAAAGCUAGAGUAUGACAGAGGCAAGUGGAACUACAUGAGUAGCGGUAAAAGGCGUAAAUAUAUGUAAGAACACCAGUGGCGAAGGCGGCUUGCUGGGUCGAUACUGACAUUGAGGCACGAGAGCGUGGGGAGCAAACAGGAUUAGAUACCCCUGUAGUC